rnacentral:rRNA from 1 species
UUGGACGGGGCCCGCACAAGCGGUGGAGCAUGUGGUUUAAUUCGACGCAACGCGAAAAACCUUACCUGGGUUUGACAUGCCGAGUACCCGAUGGAAACAUUGGGGUGCCCCGUAAGGGGAACUUGGACACAGGUGCUGCAUGGCUGUCGUCAGCUCGUGCCGUGAGGUGUUGGGUUAAGUCCCGCAACGAGCGCAACCCUCACCCUUAGUUGCCAUCAUUAAGUUGGGCACCCUAAGGGAACUGCCGCAGUUAAUGCGGAGGAAGGUGGGGAUGACGUCAAGUCCUCAUGGCCCUUAUAUCCAGGGCUACACACGUGCUACAAUGGACGGUACAAAGGGUCGCGAACCUGCAAUGUGAAGCCAAUCCCGAAAAGCCGGUCUCAGUCCGGAUUGGAGUCUGCAACUCGACUCCAUGAAGUUGGAAUCGCUAGUAAUCGCGGAUCAGCACGCCGCGGUGAAUACGUUCCCGGGCCUU